rnacentral:rRNA from 1 species
GAUGAACGCUGGCGGCGUGCCUAAUACAUGCAAGUCGAGCGAACAGAUGAGGAGCUUGCUCCUCUGACGUUAGCGGCGGACGGGUGAGUAACACGUGGAUAACCUACUUAUAUUACUGGGAUAACUUCGGGAAACCGGAGCUAAUACCGGAUAAUAUAUUGAACCGCAUGGUUCAAUAGUGAAAGACGGCUUUGCUGUCACUUAUAGAUGGAUCCGCGCCGCAUUAGCUAGUUGGUAAGGUAACGGCUUACCAAGGCAACGAUGCGUAGCCGACCUGAGAGGGUGAUCGGCCACACUGGAACUGAGACACGGUCCAGACUCCUACGGGAGGCAGCAGUAGGGAAUCUUCCGCAAUGGGCGAAAGCCUGACGGAGCAACGCCGCGUGAGUGAUGAAGGUCUUCGGAUCGUAAAACUCUGUUAUUAGGGAAGAACAAAUGUGUAAGUAACUAUGCACGUCUUGACGGUACCUAAUCAGAAAGCCACGGCUAACUACGUG